AGUGAACGCUGGCGGUAGGCCUAACACAUGCAAGUCGAACGGCAACACAGUAAGAGCUUGCUCUUACGGGUGGCGAGUGGCGGACGGGUGAGGAAUACAUCGGAAUCUACUUUUUCGUGGGGGAUAACGUAGGGAAACUUACGCUAAUACCGCAUACGACCUACGGGUGAAAGCAGGGGAUCUUCGGACCUUGCGCGAUUGAAUGAGCCGAUGUCGGAUUAGCUAGUUGGCGGGGUAAAGGCCCACCAAGGCGACGAUCCGUAGCUGGUCUGAGAGGAUGAUCAGCCACACUGGAACUGAGACACGGUCCAGACUCCUACGUGAGGCAGCAGUGGGGAAUAUUGGACAAUGGGCGCAAGCCUGAUCCAGCCAUACCGCGUGGGUGAAGAAGGCCUUCGGGUUGUAAAGCCCUUUUGUUGGGAAAGAAAAGCAGCAGGUUAAUACCCCGCUGUUCUGACGGUACCCAAAGAAUAAGCACCGGCUAACUUCGUG
rnacentral:rRNA from 1 species